GCCGUCACCAGCGAUAAAAAAAAAUUUUCAUUUUUGCUCUGCAUGUACUCAUUCUUUAUUUUCCCAAGUCAUUUCAUUAUUUUUUUAUCUGGUUAACUUUCUUUCGUUUUUAUGUGAUUUAAAACUGAAACCAUAUUUGAUUCGAUGAAAACGAGAAACAAGGAAGUAAAGAGAUAGAGGAGCUGGAAAACCAAAAAGUUUGAUGAUAGUAAUUGUUGAUAAGCUUGAAGUAGCUUAAGGAUCAUGCUAUCUAUUUGGGAAAUAGGAAAGUCCUUUAAUAAUUAGGAGUAUCUAAUUAUCUUAUGUUAAGUGUGGUUAGAGUUAUCUAAUUAUCUUAGGACUUUAUGAUUCCUAUAUAUAUCAAUGUCGAUGAUAGACAUUAUGUGUGAAUUGUGUGUGAUUUGAUAGCUUAAGUUUUGUGG
rnacentral:lncRNA from 1 species